AUCAAGUGGGUUUCAUACCAGGGAUGCAGGGAUGGUUUAACAUAUGCAAGUCAAUAAAUGUGACACACCACCUGAACAAAAUUAAAAACAAAAAUCGCAUGACCAUCGCAAUAAUCGCAAUAGAUACAGAAAAAGCAUUUGACAAAAUCCAGCAUCCCUUUAUGAUUAAAACCUUCAGCAAAAUCGGUAUACAAGGUACCUCACUGUAAUAAAAGGCAUCUAUGAUAAACCCACAGCCAACAUAAUACUGAAUGGGGAAAAGUUGAAAGCAUUUCCUCUGAGAACUGGAACAAAACAAAGAUGCCCACUCUCACUAUUCAACACAGUACCAGAAGUCCUAGCCGGAGCAGACAAGAGAAAGAAAUAAAGGACAUCCAAAUUAGUAAAGAGGAAUUCAAACUGUCGCUGUUUGCUGAUGAUAUGAUUUUAUAACUAGAAAACCCUAAAGACUCCCCCAAAAAGCUCCUAGAACUGAUUAAUGAAUUCAGCAGAGUUUCAGGAUACAAAAUUAAUGUACACAAAUCAGUAGCUCUGCUAUACACCAACAGCAGCAACCAAGGUGAGAAUCAAAUCAAGAACUCACUCCUUUUCACAAUAGUUGCAAAAAAAAAAAAAAACCAAAAAAAACAAAAACUAACCAAGAAGGUGAAGGACCUCUACAAAGAAAACUACAAAACACCUCUCAAAGAAAUAAAUCAUAGAUGACACAAACAAAUGGAAACACAUCUCAUGCUCAUGGAUGAGUAGAAUCAAUAUUGUGAAAAUGAUCAUACUGCCAAAAGCAAUCUACAACUUCAAUGCAAUUCCCAUCAAAAUACCACCAUCAUUCUUCACAGAACUAGAAAAAAAAUCCUAAAAUUAAU
rnacentral:lncRNA from 1 species